GACUUUUUGGGAAAUAGGAGGCUAAGCAAAUGGUGAUAUGGCUACACUGUAAAGACUGGAUAAGAUGGAUGACUGAAUCUGCAACAGAACAUUUGUGGACAUUGUGUGAGCCACAUUUUCCAUGCUUUUUCGCCGACUAAGCAAGACUACAUGCAGUGAGGCAGCAUAGGUUACUUUCCUGGUGCAUCAGCAUGGGCUUUCUACAGUUGACUUUCGUUAAUUCUACCCUGACGGCACCAACGAAAUUGAUCUAAUUAUGCGGCGGGUCGAAUUGAACAUGCAAAAAAAUGCUAAAACACGGCUGAUUCAUAUGGCAGUAUGUAAUUGACUUUAAGACGCCUCCGAAACAAACGUGCGCCAACUUUCUAUUUUUCCAAACUAUAAAACUGAAGUGCAAUAAAACCCAAGUAGAAACCUAACGCAUACCUGAUUUUUGAGAAUGUCAGCUGAUUUUCUAAAGUCUCCCUCGCUGCAAUACAGCCAUGUUAUGCGGUAAAGCGUAUGAAUGCUGCAAAUGCGGUUUUAUUUUCGCACUCGAGUGCACAAUGCAGGCAGUUUCCGGCUCAAUUUCCUUCGAAAACAAAAUGUGCCCUUUAGAACCAGGUCAAUACCAUAAUCGGACAUUGUGAGCUACCGUUAUGGCUUGAAAAUCUUCCUAGGGUGGGUCAAAAAUAGGCGUUUAUAGACGUUUGUUUAAUGCAUUCACUGUCCCCUAAGCUCUGCCGAGAAAGACGUUGCCACUAAAAGGGGUCGUUAUUGGGGUCAGGUGCAUGCCUGUAGCUUGGUCAAGUUCGGAUUAUCUGGCGAAUGCCAAUUUUAGGAUCAAAAUAACAAAUGUUUAGGGCCGUAGAACUGCAUGGGAGCUGGCCAAGAUCUUUGGUCAGAGUUGAAUUAACCGAAAGAUUAACCAGAGUUGGAUUAACGGAAGUCUACUGUAUACACUUUUCUGUUCAACAAGGAGUUGCCAUUUUAAUAUGUAGUUUUCUUCUAUCAGUGUGGUAAUCGUGCUAAAUUUAGCAUUUGGUUAAUUUAAAAGGACAAGUUUCAAAGCAGGGGCACGCCUUGAGACUUGAAACAUUUGAACAUAUAAAGGUAGGACACAUUAACAGCUGCUGAAUUAACCUAAGUUGGUUGUAUUAUGUGCAUAGCAUGUGGUUGCUUUUUGGGAAUGUGGUCAUUCUGUAAAAUAAAACUGCAUUUGUUUCAAAUAAAUUGCUGAAUCUACUG
rnacentral:lncRNA from 1 species